rnacentral:rRNA from 1 species
AUUGAACGCUGGCGGCAGGCCUAACACAUGCAAGUCGAGCGAGCGGCGGACGGGUGAGUAAUGUAUGGGGACUGCCCGAUAGAGGGGGAUAACUACUGGAAACGGUAGCUAAUACCGCAUACUAUCGGAUAACCCAUAUGGGAUUAGCUAGUAGGUGAGGUAAUGGCUCACCUAGGCGACGAUCCCUAGCUGGUCUGAGAGGAUGAUCAGCCACAAUGGGACGGAGAAACGGCCCAGAUGCCUCCGGAGGCAGCAGGGGGGAAUAUUGCACAAUGGGGGGAAGCCUGAUGCAGCCAGGCCGGGGGUAUGAAGAAGGCCCUAGGGUUGGAAAGUACUUUCAGUCGGGAGGCGUUACCGACAGAAGAAGCACCGGCUAACUCCGUGCCAGCAGCCGCGGUAAUAC